rnacentral:rRNA from 1 species
UACGUAGGGGGCAAGCGUUGUCCGGAUUUAUUGGGCGUAAAGAGCGUGUAGGCGGCCUGGCAGGUCCGUUGUGAAAACUCGAGGCUCAACCUCGAGACGUCGAUGGAAACCCUCAGGCUAGAGUCCGGAAGAGGAGAGUGGAAUUCCUGGUGUAGCGGUGAAAUGCGCAGAUAUCAGGAAGAACACCUAUGGCGAAGGCAGCUCUCUGGGACGGUACUGACGCUGAGACGCGAAAGCGUGGGGAGCGAACAGG